rnacentral:piRNA from 1 species
UCUUGCCGGUAUUGAUGUUGA